GCUGUCCGAGUUGUAAUCUGGAGAAGCGUUUUCUGUGUUAGACCGUGUACAAGUCUCCUGGAACGGAGCGUCAUAGAGGGUGAGAAUCCCGUCCAUGACACGGACUGCUAAUACUUUGUGAUACGCUCUCGAAGAGUCGAGUUGUUUGGGAAUGCAGCUCAAAAUGGGUGGUAAAUUCCAUCUAAAGCUAAAUACAGGCGAGAGACCGAUAGCGAACAAGUACCGUGAGGGAAAGAUGAAAAGCACUUUGGAAAGAGAGUUAAACAGUACGUGAAAUUGUUGAAAGGGAAACGCUUGAAGUCAGUCGCGUUGUGCAGAACUCAGCCUUGCCUCGGUUUGGUGUACUUUCUGCACAACGGGUCAACAUCAAUUUUGGCCCAUGGAGAAAGGUGGAGG
rnacentral:rRNA from 1 species